rnacentral:lncRNA from 1 species
CAUUUUAGCUUUGCCAUCCGCGGACGGCUUGAGUGUUAACCAGCUCGGUGGACCGUUUGCCUUUCUGCGAGGGCAGCGGCUUCCUCUAGAAUAAAGAAUGAAGAAAAUUGAAAUGAUCUCUGAAACUCGAGAAUAGUUAUGUAAAAGAGAAAAAACAAAGUCUAUCGUUCAAAGGCUACUGAACCAGGAAACAGGCAGCCCGCGUUAAAAUCCCAGCUCUGGGAUCAACUGGUUAGAUUAUUUUCAUUCAGGCAUCUUUUCUUUCUGCACUACUUCAUCUACCAGUUGCUAACAUUGAAUGAACCUUUACAGUGUUCCAGGUACUGUUUUAAGAGAUUUUCUAUACUCAUAUAACAUUUUUGAAAGAAAAAGUGAAAUAUAGGCCUACAUGUUCAGCCUCAACGUGAACGUGAUGAGGAUGAAGACCUUUAUGAUAAUCCACUUUCACUUAGUGAAUCGGGAUUGGACUGCUGCAUUCUAAAAAUAAUGGUGAGAAGAAUGAAUAAAUUAGAGUUUACUAUGUAAUAAAACCUUCUAAAAAAGAGGAGAGGUAGCAGAAUUUACAAGAAGGUUAAACCUGACCUUACUGAAGAGAAUGAUACCCUCAUAGCAGCGCAUCUUCUUUGCUCACAGAAAGCUCCUUGGACAAAUGUGUUUUGAGUUUCAAGUGAGCAAACCUUCAAUGUGUCUGCCAUUUUGGGGAAGAAGUUGUAACUUGGAGUGAAGGUAGAGGGAUUUAUUAUGAGAGCUUUGCUAGCAGACAUCUCAUUCUUUAAGACAAAAUCAACGCACAAACAUAAUUGGUCAAAGGAAGAAAGCUACAAAACCAAUUCAAUAACAUCUGAAGCCUGAGAGGAAAAUGAAAGACAAGAGGCUGUGGCUGCAGCUGUGUCUGCUGACAACAGGAUAAAAAUGGUUGCAUUGAGAGUGAGCUGCAUUUUCACCAGGCAGAGCAAACUGGGAGCUAAUGUGUUUCUUGGAAAUCAAAAGAGGACUCCAAGAAUAGAAGCUUUUAAGAGGACUGGCUGGAGAGUCAAAGAAGAUCCAUUAGCUUCUGGACCACUGAAAACCUAAGGGCUGAUGGUGGGGCAGGGUAAGUGGCCGGCAGCAGGGAGACAUUUUCUGUAUCUAGGAUGGUAUAGAAAAGACCCCCACUGGACAGAUCUACAAAGAACAACUAAAGAGUCUCAUGGUAGAACAGGUCAGCUCUGGACAUCAUUCAAAUCCAGGGGAGCCUCUUAUACUGGAUUGCAAUUGUGUUGGGCAUGUACAAUGGUGUUCUUUUUCUCUAAUGGCUUCUUUCUUCUGGUCAGUCUCUGGAAGGGGUGAAAGAGUGAGAAAUAGUAGCCAGCAAGUGUAGAAAGAGAUGUGGAAGAGAGAACGGGGAAACAGAAAUUGCAUUUCUCCCACGUUCCAAAUGUAGGUUAUCCGGGUUAAAUGUAGGCCCCACCUGACUAGGCAAAGAUUUUUUCCUUUGUUGUGAGUUUGAAAAGAACUAAACAUCAUACUGAAGUGGAAUUAUUGAAAUUGGAUAGACCCAGGUUCAAAUGUUGACUCAGUUAUGUAACAUCUUGUGAAUUUUGACAGGUUCCUUAACUCCACUGAGUCUGUUUUUAUACCCAUGAAAUGGAUGUAGGAUUGUUAUGAACAUUAAUUGAAAAAUUAUAUAUAAAAUAAGUGUCCAGCAUAGUUCCUGGCACAUACUAGUGCUUGAAAACUACCAAUCAACUUCAUCAAUUUGUGUUAUGCCCUGCAUGGGCACAUAUUUGUCCUGAUACUCUUCAAAAUGUAGAAGUACCCACAGAAAAAUUGUCUCAGUUCAAGCACAGUAUUAUUAAUAUUCUACUGAGUACUAAGUAUGGUCGUUAAUAGUCUAAUAUGAGGAAGUCAAAACAGUCUCUGGAAAAAGUCUUUCUGCAAGCUUUUUGAAGCUUCAGGGAUUGCUACAAAGACUGGAAAAUCGAUCUUGAACUCAGCCUUUUAAUUUCUUUUCAUGAUUACUGUUCUCAAAUGGAGAAUGCAAUUAAAAUUAAUGCUGUCUUAGUUCACUUGCCUCAAAAUAAACAUUGAUCAAAUUCUAUGUGAAAAAAAAAAAAAAAAA